rnacentral:rRNA from 1 species
AGUGAACGCUGGCGGUAGGCCUAACACAUGCAAGUCGAACGGCAGCACAGGAGAGCUUGCUCUCUGGGUGGCGAGUGGCGGACGGGUGAGGAAUACAUCGGAAUCUACUCUGUCGUGGGGGAUAACGUAGGGAAACUUACGCUAAUACCGCAUACGACCUACGGGUGAAAGCAGGGGACCUUCGGGCCUUGCGCGAUUGAAUGAGCCGAUGUCGGAUUAGCUAGUGGGCGGGUAAAGGCCCACCAAGGCGACGAUCCGUAGCUGGUCUGAGAGGAUGAUCAGCCACACUGGAACUGAGACACGGUCCAGACUCCUACGGGAGGCAGCAGUGGGGAAUAUUGGACAAUGGGCGCAAGCCUGAUCCAGCCAUACCGCGUGGGUGAAGAAGGCCUUCGGGUUGUAAAGCCCUUUUGUUGGGAAAGAAAUCCAGCUGGCUAAUACCCGGUUGGGAUGACAGUACCCAAAGAAUAAGCACCGGCUAACUUCGUGCCAGCCGCCGCAGUAA